ACCUCUUUUCAUGGCCGAUAUGGCCAUGUCUUUAUUGAGGUUCCUGACCUCAAGUGUGGCCGCAUUGAAUCGGGCCACGAAAUUCUCGAUCUCUCCUCGUUUGAUCGAAAAGAGAUUAUCCGAGGUUUGUGGCGGUCUUCGGCUGGUGCUGAAGUGGGCCACGAAUGAGUGCUCUAGCUGUUCGAAGGAAUGGAUACUUUCCGAUCAAAUCCUGGAGUAUCAGACUCUGGCAGCUUUCCGAAGUGUUGCUGGGAAGCCGAUGCAGGGGAGGGUGUCGGUUGCCCCCUGAAUCAUCAUGAGAGCCUUGUAGCUCUCGAGAUGGUCAACUGGAUCGGUGGAGCCAUCGUAGGGCUCCACGUGCGGCAUCUUGAACCGACUCGGGAUCGGUUCAUCCGAAAUAAGUUGGGAGAGAGGUUGGACGGUAUGAAAAUCGAAGUCAUUUGAAGAUUUCUGACCGUCCAUCUGGAACUGGACGAGUCGGCAGUCAAUUUCUUCGAACUUACGUUCGUAGUUCUCGAGCUGUUGGUGGUGGUAAACCCUGGGGGUUGAUCCUCCCGAUGAAUUAGAGGGAGAGGCAGACGGUGCUCGCGGUCGCUUUCUUUUCCUUGCCCGAUCUAACUAGGAAGGAGAAGGGCGUCGCGAAUUGCGGGUGGGGCGU
rnacentral:lncRNA from 1 species